AUUCGUCUUCAGGGCAGGGUGAAAUUCCCGACCGGUGGUGAUAGUCCACGACCUCGCAAUGUUUCGUUGCGGGCUGAACUGGUGUAAUUCCAGUACCGACAGUACAGUCUGGAUGGAAGAAGAUGGGG
rnacentral:ncRNA from 2 species